UACGCAGGGGGCUAGCGUUGCUCGGAUUUACUGGGCGUAAAGGGAGCGUAGGCGGUCGUUUAAGUCGGGGGUGAAAUCCCGGAGCUUAACUUCGGAACUGCCUUUGAUACUGGGUGUCUUGAGUGUGAGAGAGGUAUGUGGAACUCCGAGUGUAGAGGUGAAAUUCGUAGAUAUUCGGAAGAACACCAGUGGCGAAGGCGACAUACUGGCUCAUUACUGACGCUGAGGCGCGAAAGCGUGGGGAGCAAACGGG
rnacentral:rRNA from 1 species